AGCUAGGCAUGGUGGCACAUGCCUGUAACCCCAGGUACUUGGGAGGCUGAGGCAGGAGAAUCGCUUGAACCCGGGAGGCAGAGGUUGCAGUGAGCCGAGAUCACGCCAUUGCACUCCAGCCUGGGCAACAAAAGUGAAACUUCAUCUCAGCAAAAAAAAGAAAAAAAAAAAAAAAAGAGAAAGAAAGAAAAAUAAAAGAGGCUGAACACAAGCACAAAUUGCAGGUCUCUAUACAGAGCAGCAGAUCCUGCCUACCCCCUUUCCUCCCCCAACAUACAGCGG
rnacentral:lncRNA from 10 species